rnacentral:rRNA from 1 species
AGAGUUUGAUNNUGGCUCAGAUUGAACGCUGGCGGCAGGCCUAACACAUGCAAGUCGAGCGGUAGCACAGAGAGCUUGCUCUCGGGUGACGAGCGGCGGACGGGUGAGUAAUGUCUGGGAAACUGCCUGAUGGAGGGGGAUAACUACUGGAAACGGUAGCUAAUACCGCAUAACGUCGCAAGACCAAAGUGGGGGACCUUCGGGCCUCAUGCCAUCAGAUGUGCCCAGAUGGGAUUAGCUAGUAGGUGGGGUAACGGCUCACCUAGGCGACGAUCCCUAGCUGGUCUGAGAGGAUGACCAGCCACACUGGAACUGAGACACGGUCCAGACUCCUACGGGAGGCAGCAGUGGGGAAUAUUGCACAAUGGGCGCAAGCCUGAUGCAGCCAUGCCGCGUGUGUGAAGAAGGCCUUCGGGUUGUAAAGCACUUUCAGCGGGGAGGAAGGCGAUGAGGUUAAUAACCUCAUCGAUUGACGUUACCCUGCAGAAGAAGCACCGGCUAACUCCGUGCCAGCAGCCGCGGUAAUACGGAGGGUGCAAGCGUUAAUCGGAAUUACUGGGCGUAAAGCGCACGCAGGCGGUCUGUCAAGUCGGAUGUGAAAUCCCCGGGCUCAACCUGGGAACUGCAUUCGAAACUGGCAGGCUAGAGUCUUGUAGAGGGGGGUAGAAUUCCAGGUGUAGCGGUGAAAUGCGUAGAGAUCUGGAGGAAUACCGGUGGCGAAGGCGGCCCCCUGGACAAAGACUGACGCUCAGGUGCGAAAGCGUGGGGAGCAAACAGGAUUAGAUACCCUGGUAGUCCACGCCGUAAACGAUGUCGAUUUGGAGGUUGUGCCCUUGAGGCGUGGCUUCCGGAGCUAACGCGUUAAAUCGACCGCCUGGGGAGUACGGCCGCAAGGUUAAAACUCAAAUGAAUUGACGGGGGCCCGCACAAGCGGUGGAGCAUGUGGUUUAAUUCGAUGCAACGCGAAGAACCUUACCUGGUCUUGACAUCCACAGAACUUUCCAGAGAUGGAUUGGUGCCUUCGGGAACUGUGAGACAGGUGCUGCAUGGCUGUCGUCAGCUCGUGUUGUGAAAUGUUGGGUUAAGUCCCGCAACGAGCGCAACCCUUAUCCUUUGUUGCCAGCGGUUAGGCCGGGAACUCAAAGGAGACUGCCAGUGAUAAACUGGAGGAAGGUGGGGAUGACGUCAAGUCAUCAUGGCCCUU